rnacentral:rRNA from 1 species
UACGAAGGGGGCUAGCGUUGCUCGGAAUCACUGGGCGUAAAGGGUGCGUAGGCGGGUCUUUAAGUCAGGGGUGAAAUCCUGGAGCUCAACUCCAGAACUGCCGUUGAUACUGAGGAUCUUGAGUUCGGGAGAGGUGAGUGGAACUGCGAGUGUAGAGGUGAAAUUCGUAGAUAUUCGCAAGAACACCAGUGGCGAAGGCGGCUCACUGGCCCGAUACUGACGCUGAGGCACGAAAGCGUGGGGAGCAAACAGG